rnacentral:rRNA from 1 species
GAUGAACGCUAGCUACAGGCUUAACACAUGCAAGUCGAGGGGAAACGAUAGAGAAAGCUUGCUUUUUCUAGGCGUCGACCGGCGCACGGGUGAGUAACGCGUAUCCAACCUGCCCACCACUUGGGGAUAACCUUGCGAAAGUAAGACUAAUACCCAAUGAUAUCUCUAGAAGACAUCUGAAAGGGAUUAAAGAUUUAUCGGUGAUGGAUGGGGAUGCGUCUGAUUAGCUUGUUGGCGGGGUAACGGCCCACCAGGGCUACGAUCAGUAGGGGUUCUGAGAGGAAGGUCCCCCACAUUGGAACUGAGACACGGUCCAAACUCCUACGGGAGGCAGCAGUGAGGAAUAUUGGUCAAUGGACGAGAGUCUGAACCAGCCAAGUAGCGUGCAGGAUGACGGCCCUAUGGGUUGUAAACUGCUUUUAUAAGGGAAUAAAGUGAGUCUCGUGAGACUUUUUGCAUGUACCUUAUGAAUAAGGACCGGCUAAUUCCGUGCCAGCAGCCGCGGUAA